rnacentral:rRNA from 1 species
CCUACGGGAGGCAGCAGUGGGGGAUAUUGCACAAUGGGGGGAACCCUGAUGCAGCGACGCCGCGUGGGUGAAGGAGUGCUUCGGCAUGUAAAGCCCUAUCGGCAGGGAAGAAGCAAGACGGUACCCGACUAAGAAGCCCCGGCUAACUACGUGCCAGCAGCCGCGGUAAUAAGUAGGGGGCGAGCGUUAUCCGGAUUCACUGGGUGUAAAGGGAGCGUAGACGGCCAAGCAAGCCAGGGGUGAAAGCCCGGGGCCCAACCCCGGGACUGCCCUUGGAACUGCAUGGCUGGAGUGCGGGAGGGGCAGGCGGAAUUCCUGGUGUAGCGGUGAAAUGCGUAGAUAUCAGGAGGAACACCGGCGGCGAAGGCGACCUGCUGGACCGCGACUGACGUUGAGGCUCGAAAGCGUGGGGAGCGAACAGGAUUAGAUACCCCAGUAGUC